AUGGCCCAGGAAAAACCUUCCCAACGCUUCUCACCAAACAUCGAAAGCCUGGAACAAAGUCUCUGGGGGGCCGUGACUGACUUAAAAGGGUCUCCAAACAAAAUGAAGAGAACAACAACCAAGCCUUUAAUGGAGGAAUGGCAAGAAGUAACAUCUCCAGGUUUCUUGAACAUAAUGCCUAUCAGUUUCAGUCACCAUGCCCAAUGUUCUGCACAGCCGGAUAUCUGGAGAUCCCUAUGUCCCCAGUCAACUCUGUGUUGGCUGUGCCCAGCAUAGAAGAACCCGUGUAGGUACAGAACAUGAAUUGUGUAAGAGCUUGCAAAUGCAAAGGAAUCGAGUUUUGUUGUUGAGCCGGCAUUGUCCGUAGACACCUCCAAGGUCAUGUGGCCGGCAUGACUGCAUGGAGCGCUGUUACCUUGCUACCAGAGCAGAACCUAUUGAUCUACUCACAUUUGCAUGUUUUCGAACUGCGGGGUUGGAAGAAGCUGGAGCUAACAGCAGGAGCUCACUCAGGUCCCCAGAUUUGAACUACUGACCUUUUGGUCAGCAAGUUCAGUGGCUCAGCAGUUUAACCCACUGUGUCACCGGGGGAUCCCCAAGCUUUACUCCCAUGGCAUCUUUAAGAGUAACAGAAAUUUUAGUAUGCUCUUUGAUGAAUUACAGUCCACUUUCUCACAUGCAAAAAGUCAUCCUAAAACAUCAGGUACAGAAUAUAAAUACAGGCUGGAUCUACACCACCAUAUACAGUAAUACAGUUUGGAACUGCAUUAUAUGGUCAGUGUAGACCAGGCAUGGGCAAACUUCGGCCCUCCAGGUGUUUUGGACUUCAACGGGCCGAAGUUAUAGCAAUAUAGAUGCAACCAAAGUAUGCAUAGAGUAUGCAAAAUGAGAGUAUUUCUUCCAAACAAAAUGCAAGUGAAGUGUUGGCACAACCUGGCAGUUGACAAAUGAACUAGUCCACCAAUUUUAUUCUAGGCUCAAAUAUGAAGUGUCGCCUGCAUACAAGCUCAGUUACAAAUAGUAUUCACGUGCCCUUUCGUGCUAAAUAGUUCCACUUUAUAUCUGCCACUCCUAUAGAAUCCUUGAAUUUAUCAUUUCAGGAAGAGUAUUUAGGAUUCUCAGC
ensembl:lncRNA